rnacentral:rRNA from 1 species
UGCCAGCAGCCGCGGUAAUACGGAGGGGGCAAGCGUUGUUCGGAAUUAUUGGGCGUAAAGGGCGCGUAGGCGGCCUGGUAAGUCAGUUGUGAAAGCCCUCGGCUCAACCGAGGAAUUGCGACUGAAACUGCCGGGCUUGAGUUCUGGAGAGGGUAGUGGAAUUCCCAGUGUAGCGGUGAAAUGCGUAGAUACUGGGAGGAACAUCGGUGGCGAAGGCGACUACCUGGACAGAUACUGACGCUGAGGCGCGAAAGCGUGGGGAGCAAACAGGAUUAGAUA